AUCCAUUUAAAUCAGUGGUCGGCACACACAUACCAUCAUAAAUUUGCCUAGUAUUAGUUUCUCUGCCGCAGCAGCAAAAAAGCGCGCCGGAGCUGAGAAAAAAAGGACCCGAAGACCCAUUCCGAGGUCAUACGAACAUCUACGUUAUACGUAAGCGAGCAGAGGAUGGGCAUAACACUUCCCUAUGCUCACAAGAUAGGCUGCUGCCGACCGCUGAUUGAAAUUGUGCGCAGCAGAGUUUCUUUAAUCCUUUCUUCAAGUUAAAAUAAUAAAGUCAUGUAUUUAAUGGGUUUCAUUAGAUGAAAGUGGAUUAUGAAAUGUUUUGUGCCAGUAAAAGUCCCGCAAAGGGUAAUACACAGCUCUAAAAGG